GGGACAUUGAUGUACCUAGCUCCAUCGAUCACCUUGUUUGCGAAUUAAUUAUGUGGCUUCCCUUGGCCAUGGCGAUGUAGGCUAGUGCCAGCAUGUUAUUAUUCACAGAUAGAUUUCAAUAAUCGAUCAAAAGCAUAUGAUGCCGCCCAGUGUUCAAAGAAUUAAAGUAAUUAAUCAUCAUCAUGCAUUGGCCCUUAUCAUAUGCAAGCACAUGAUCUU
rnacentral:lncRNA from 1 species